rnacentral:rRNA from 1 species
ACGACGCUGGCGGCGUGCUUAACACAUGCAAGUCGACGGUAAGGCCCUUCGGGGUACACGAGUGGCGAACGGGUGAGUAACACGUGGGUGAUCUGCCCUGCACUUUGGGAUAAGCCUGGGAAACUGGGUCUAAUACCGAAUAUGACCAUGGACUUCACGGUUUGUGGUGGAAAGCUUUUGCGGUGUGGGAUGGGCCCGCGGCCUAUCAGCUUGUUGGUGGGGUAAUGGCCUACCAAGGCGACGACGGGUAGCCGGCCUGAGAGGGUGACCGGCCACACUGGGACUGAGAUACGGCCCAGACUCCUACGGGAGGCAGCAGUGGGGAAUAUUGCACAAUGGGCGCAAGCCUGAUGCAGCGACGCCGCGUGGGGAUGACGGCCUUCGGGUUGUAAACCUCUUUCACCAGGGACGAAGCGAGAGUGACGGUACCUGGAGAAGAAGGACCGGCCAACUACGUG